AUAGCUCACAAUGUGAUAAAUUACUAUUAAGGAAGGAAUCACAAUGAAUGUAUACAUGAGUUAGAGGCUCUACAUAAACCACCCACGCGUCAAAAGAUUAUAUCAAACAUUUGAAAAACUUUUUGAGUGGGCUAUAAGAUGGAAUAUGUACAGUUUUAAUCUAAACUGAGCGAACAUGAGAGCUACAAUUAACAUUUGAUUUGUUUGGAUUU